UCCAGACUCCUACGGGAGGCAGCAGUGGGGGAUAUUGCACAAUGGGGGAAACCCUGAUGCAGCGACGCCGCGUGAGUGAAGAAGUAUUUCGGUAUGUAAAGCUCUAUCAGCAGGGACGAAAAUGACGGUACCUGAGUAAGAAGCCCCGGCUAACUACGUGCCAGCAGCCGCGGUAAUACGUAGGGGGCAAGCGUUAUCCGGAUUUACUGGGUGUAAAGGGGGCGUAGACGGUUAUGCAAGUCUGGAGUGAAAGGCGGGGGCUCAACCCCCGGACUGCUCUGGAAACUGUAGAACUAGAGUGCAGGAGGGGUAAGUGGAAUUCCUAGUGUAGCGGUGAAAUGCGUAGAUAUUAGGAGGAACACCAGUGGCGAAGGCGGCUUGCUGGACGGUAACUGACGUUGAGGCUCGAAAGCGUGGGGAGCAAACAGGAUUAGAUACCCGAGUA
rnacentral:rRNA from 1 species